rnacentral:rRNA from 1 species
GGCAAUCUGCCCUGCACUCUGGGACAAGCCCUGGAAACGGGGUCUAAUACCGGAUACUGAUCCUCGCAGGCAUCUGCGAGGUUCGAAAGCUCCGGCGGUGCAGGAUGAGCCCGCGGCCUAUCAGCUAGUUGGUGAGGUAACGGCUCACCAAGGCGACGACGGGUAGCCGGCCUGAGAGGGCGACCGGCCACACUGGGACUGAGACACGGCCCAGACUCCUACGGGAGGCAGCAGUGGGGAAUAUUGCACAAUGGGCGAAAGCCUGAUGCAGCGACGCCGCGUGAGGGAUGACGGCCUUCGGGUUGUAAACCUCUUUCAGCAGGGAAGAAGCGAAAGUGACGGUACCUGCAGAAGAAGCGCCGGCUAACUACGUGCCAGCAGCCGCGGUAAUACGUAGGGCGCAAGCGUUGUCCGGAAUUAUUGGGCGUAAAGAGCUCGUAGGCGGCUUGUCACGUCGGUUGUGAAAGCCCGGGGCUUAACCCCGGGUCUGCAGUCGAUACGGGCAGGCUAGAGUUCGGUAGGGGAGAUCGGAAUUCCUGGUGUAGCGGUGAAAUGCGCAGAUAUCAGGAGGAACACCGGUGGCGAAGGCGGAUCUCUGGGCCGAUACUGACGCUGAGGAGCGAAAGCGUGGG